AGAUAGUUGCCUUAAGAAAAUCUCCAUUCAUCUGUACUCUGGGAUUUGGACUCAAAUCGUAAUUAUACAGUUCCAAGCAGCAUUUUACCCAAAAUCCAACAAAGACAGUUAUGGAGACUGUGCUUGAAAUUUUUGAAAUUCCUAACUAAGAGUCUGGUCUUCUGUGAUGUCUUAUGAGAUGCCUGUGUGAACUAACCAAGCCAUUCUGACAUAAGCACAAAGGGGUACAAGGAGUCAACUCCUCAUAGCGUGAUCCUUGACAAACAACAGAUGUGAGAAAAUGGCUAAAUACAGCCUUCUUCCAUCCUGAAGGUGAGCAAAUUAGAAUUCAUUUUAUGCACUUCAGAGGGUCCCCAGCAAAACAGAGUCCCAGAUAC
rnacentral:lncRNA from 1 species